rnacentral:rRNA from 1 species
AACGAACGCUGGCGGCAGGCUUAACACAUGCAAGUCGAGCGGGCGUAGCAAUACGUCAGCGGCAGACGGGUGAGUAACGCGUGGGAACGUACCUUUUGGUUCGGAACAACACAGGGAAACUUGUGCUAAUACCGGAUAAGCCCUUACGGGGAAAGAUUUAUCGCCGAAAGAUCGGCCCGCGUCUGAUUAGCUAGUUGGUGAGGUAACGGCUCACCAAGGCGACGAUCAGUAGCUGGUCUGAGAGGAUGAUCAGCCACAUUGGGACUGAGACACGGCCCAAACUCCUACGGGAGGCAGCAGUGGGGAAUAUUGGACAAUGGGGGGAAACCCUGAUCCAGCAAUGCCGCGUGUGUGAUGAAAGCCUUAGGGUUGUAAAGCUCUUUUGCCAGGGAAGAUGAUGACUGUACCUGGAGAAUAAGCCCCGGCUAACUUCGUGCCAGCAGCCGCGGUAAU